UAGAAUGUACUUUUAAUUUCCAGAUGUAGA
rnacentral:piRNA from 1 species